rnacentral:lncRNA from 1 species
AAAUUUUGAAAAUUUAGAUAACAAUAAAUAGAGUCACAAGUGUAAUAUAAAUUAAUAAUAAAUUAACUUAUUACAAUUGUUCUAAUCGAGAAUUCCUCGAUGGGAUUUCAUGUGUUGAAAAUGCUGUAAAAUAAUUUCAUUAUCAAUACAAUCAAAUACAUCUUUUUCAAUGUACACAACUAAGUUAUCAUUCAACCAUUCAUCUCCCAUUCGACUUCGUAGUCGAUUCUUCACAUAAUUCAUAGCUGAAAAAACUCUCUCAACAGUGGCAGUGGCAGUGGCAACUGGUAGAAGUAAUGCUAAUGUGACUAAUAAAUAGACCAAUGAAAACACAUUGUGCUUGUUAGUUUCAACUAUUU